rnacentral:rRNA from 1 species
AGUAAUGUAUGGGGAUCUGCCUGAUGGCGGGGGGUAACUACUGGAAACGGUAGCUAAUACCGCAUAAUGUCUGCGGACCAAAGCGGGGGACCUCCGGGCCUCGCGCCAUCAGAUGAACCCAUAUGGGAUUAGCUAGUAGGUAAGGUAACGGCUUACCUAGGCGACGAUCCCUAGCUGGUCUGAGAGGAUGAUCAGCCACACUGGAACUGAGACACGGUCCAG